rnacentral:rRNA from 1 species
UACGGAGGAUCCAAGCGUUAUCCGGAAUUACUGGGCGUAAAGAGUUGCGUAGGCGGCAUCGUAAGCGAGUAGUGAAAGCGUGUGGCUCAACCACAUAUACAUUACUCGAACUGCGAAGCUAGAGGACAAGAGAGGUACCUGGAAUUUCUAGUGUAGGGGUGAAAUCCGUAGAUAUUAGAAAGAACACCGAUGGCGUAGGCAGGGUACUGGCUUGUUCCUGACGCUCAGGCACGAAAGCGUGGGGAGCGAACGGG